rnacentral:lncRNA from 1 species
AAAUCACUGUCUUUUUACCUAUGGCAGGACUGAGGUCCAGAGAUGCUGAGGGCCUGGCUCGAGGUCAUGCAGCAGAUGUGGCACAGGGAUCCUGGUUGACUGAUUUCACAGUUCCCUCCAAAGUGCAUGAUCGUGACAGAGGCCUCCCUCCAGCACAGCCCUGCAAGCUCUUAAAAAGCUCUGACAUAUCUCGACCAUGAGACCACGGCUGGCCCUUAGCAGGAAGGGGCUGAUGUUGACGUUCCCAGCCCAGCAGGCCGGACCUGGCGGGCAGGUGGCCCACCGAACACAUGAACGAUUGCUUCUCUGGACAGGGCCACGUUUUCACAGGACAGGCUUGAGUUUGAGCUGAAACAGCUGAGAGAGAGACUUCUCAAGAAAUGGAUGGGUGGUGAGUUUGCAGCAGGGUAUCUUAAACAUCUGUGGGCAUAUAGAGAGAGCCUUCCAGACCCUCGCGUUACUGUUUGACCUUUGUCAAAUGUGUGCAAACAUACAGUGUCCUCUGACAUCCCAUUUUGUCCUGAUGGCAGCCCUGUGUAUGAGGUAAGAGAAUUCCCAUUUUACAGGCAAAGGAACUGAGGUUGAGAUGGGGAAGUAAUUUUGCUCAAAGUAAUCCAGCAUGUCAGCGGCAGGAACUUGACUGUGAACCGUAAGCCCAGGGUUCUUUCCAUUCCCAGGCACCAUAUGGGUCACCGGUUCAUCUGGGUUCAUAUCCAUCUGCUCUGUGUUCUCUUAGGUUUGGUAUUAUUUUUACAAAAUGGAGAUGCUUUAAUUUUCACCUUAAAAACUAUACAUGUUUAUUGAAAAUAAAGAUCAAGUAUAGAGACA